CACGCCCUAAACGAUGUCUACUAGUUGUUGGGUCUUAAUUGACUUAGUAACGCAGCUAACGCGUGAAGUAGACCGCCUGGGGAGUNACGCGAAAAACCUUACCUACCCUUGACAUGUACAGAAUGCCGAAGAGAUUUGGCGGUGCUCGCAAGAGAACUGUAACACAGGUGC
rnacentral:rRNA from 1 species